AGGGCGGUGUCGGACGCUCUUGUCCGGCUGGCCGGGCUCCAGGAAGUAGAGGCAGGCGCCGAAGCCCGCCAGCACUAGGACGGACACCAGCAGGUAGAGCGGCACGAACCAGUCCAGGAAAAACCACAUGGCUGCUCCCGGAGGACUUAGGGGAGAGAGAGGAAAAACUCAGAACCUGACGUCGCGCGCAGGAACCCACGCCGGCUUACCUGCGCAGGUGUGCCGCGCUCACGCAAGGGUCCCGAGCGAGUCGCGUCGACGCCUGGCGGCUCUCAGCUGCGACAUGCGAUCCACGAGCGACGUCCACGCGUGACAGGUGCUUCUCCGAGAGGCAAGAUGCUGCGUGGGGGCUGCGUCCUCCCCGGCUCUGACGUCCAAAAGGAGGGGAGGGGAGGGGUUGCCAUGGCAACACCCCUGCUCGCGGCAGAGAGUGGGAGUGUAACUUAUAUAACUAGACCGUGUGUGUGUGUGCGCGCGCGCGCGUGUGUGUGUGUGAGAGAAAGGCGUAAAAUCAAUUCCACUCCAUUUAACACCGAGGGCCAUCACACUGCUUGUGUGACGUGGAGGUGUGUGUGAGAGUGUGUAUGUUUGUGUGUGUUUGUACGUGUGUGUUUGUGUGUGAGUGUGUAUGUUUGUGUGUGUGUGUGUGUGAGUGAGAGAUAAUGUGUAUGUGUGUGUGAGAGUGUGUGUGUGAGAAUAUGUGUAAGUGUGUGAAUUAGUGUGUGUUCUGGCAAUGCAGACUUAAUGGGGACAUGGCUCUGUUUACACAGUCACCUUUAGGGGACCUCUGACGGUAUGGGGACAAAACAAAACAGGUCCCCUAAAGGAAACCCUUUUUUAAAUGAUACUCAGAUCCAUUCUGAAGAUGCCUAAGUUAUUUUUAAGCUUUGGCCAAUAAAACAUGUUUCCUGGUUAGUUUGAGUGUGAGACAUUUGCACAGCAGUCCCCUCAUCGGGCUCUACAAUUUGGGUUACUUUGUUUACGUGUUUCAAAUAUUGGUAAAAGAGAAAAUUAAUAUUCUUGGAAAGUGAAACAUGUGUUAUCCUGGCAUUAAUUGUACUGUGAUUCUGUGGUAUCCAUCCUUAGUUAAAACUAAUAUAGGUUUCCAAAAACAAAAUAUGGUUUAGGUCCUCAGUAGUCACGUACAAAUUUGUGUGAAUUAUGCAAAAUGAUUUAAAUGUGGUCCCCAUGAAUCAUAUGAACUCUUUUCCCCCAGGGUCCCCAGUGAGUAUGAACAGCACAUUACUUCAUCAAUCCAUGGAUUUAAAGACGUGUAUGAGCUAACUGGGCAGUGGCCAUUUUACACCAUUUAUUUAUGCCUCCAGAACCUGUAGAAAGGGUGGUCCCCACAAGUCCUGAUCAACAACUUGGUCCCCAUUCCAAAUGACAACCUGUGUGUGUGUGUGUGUGUGUGUGUGUGUGUGUGUGUGUGUGUGUGUGUGUGUGUGUGUGUGUGUGUGCGUUUGUCAAAGUGACAUAUGGGGACAUUUUUAUGAAAUUUCACCUUACAUAUGAGGACCUGUUGAAAUAUGGGGACAUUUUCCAUGUCCCCAUAUUUCCCGCAAUGCUAUCGUGUUCUAGACCCUCCCAACAUGUUCCCAGACCAAAAAUCUCUGAAGUCUUCAUUUGUCAAAUUUUCAGAAAAAGUGUGUGAAAGUGUGUUUAAUUUUUUUGCUCACCUUCGAUUUUGCCCCUAGUGGCCAUCUUUGCUAUUAUGACACACACACACACACACUUGUCCUCAUAUGUCAUAUGUCCUCAUAUGUCAUGUGGGUCAGAAACUCACACACUCCAACAUUUUGAAAAACAUCUAAUCAUUACAGCAAUAAACAUACUUUUAAAUUCUAAAUCAAAUAACACAUGUUCAACUGAUCUGAUGAUCUCAACCUUUUUUAUGUUAGUUUUAUCUAUUCAUUUGGUUUAUCUGGAGAGGAUUUGGGCUAGACAGUUAGUAAUAAAGGGAUUAUGGUGAUGAUUUAAUUGGUUUGAUUCAGUAUUUUACUGUAUUGGGCUUUUUGCUAUUAUGUUGACUAAAAUACAAUGCCGCACAAUAAUUAAUUUAAAUGUGCCUGAAAUGUAGGUUUUUGCAUAAACCUUGAUUGAGACUAAGGCAAUAAUUCAAAUGCAAUUCAAACUACAUACAGUAUUUAAUAUUUUCAAAUGGUUACAAUAGCACAUGAUUUAGGUAUUUUUAUCUUUGGGACAAAUUUUGGAUUCAAUUGGCGAUUGUUUUUGGAGGUAUUCACUUUACAUUGUGUUCAAGAUGGUUACUUCCGCCCACUCUGAAGAGUCUCGGCGUCUGAUUGGUCCAAUUUUCAGUUAGGCGCUGCCUGAUUGGCCAGUGGAUGAUGUCGAUCCUAACAGAGGGCUAAAUCACUAGUUAACUAUUUUCAUCAUGGAAGUUAUACAGCUCACGUAUCACACUUAAUAUUGAAUAUAUAUAUAAAAAGGGUUUUCCAAAAGGACCAUUUAUAAUCGAAAUACAAAACUUCACACACGAUUUUGAGCACAACAGAGCGCUCAGUGAACAUCACUUCCGGGACCUGCAGCACCAGAGGGGGACAUCUAUCUUGGCCACAAACCAUCUUUGACAGUCUUCAGCAGCAUGGUUGAAUCAGGCGCAUCAACACAUGAUGUAGACAUCGUGUCCAAAAGAAGAGCGAGACGUAAUCCUGAGGCUGAAGCCACCGAGUUUAUUUGAUCUGGAUGUGACAAGUCUUGUUUUAAGGCCCAGUGGAUCAAUGAUUGGAAAGACACCAACUGUUGAUGUUCUAUCUCAACAUUCUCCAGAUUCAUGUGAGCGAUAAACCGACUUCAUCCCUCCAACAGACACCAACUGUUGGGGUUCUAUCUCAACAUUCUCCAGAUUCAGAUGUGAGCGAUAAACCGACUUCAUCCCUCCAACAGAAACCAACUGUUGAGGUUCCAUCUCAACAUUCUCCAGAUUCAGAUGUGAGCCAUUAACUGACUUCAUCCCUCCAACAGAAACCAACUGUUGAGGUUCUAUCUCAACAUUCUCUAGAUUCAGAUGACAGCCAUAAACCGACUUCAUCCCUCCAACAGAUUGACAGCAGGACAAAUCGCUGGAAGUAGGUAUGUCUCAAGCUUCUUCCACUUGGUCCACUCCAAAGCGGGCUGCAAAGGGGAAGAAGUGGAAGCAGUUGAAUGACACAUGUUGCAUUUUGUAACUGGCAACAAAGUACCAGGUAAAAAAGAUUGUGAAGCCUGCCUCCAUAAAGAACUAGUAGCUCUACAGGACAGAGAUUGGCUUGCCAUCAAGUACUACAUCCA